rnacentral:misc_RNA from 1 species
GCAAACUUGGUCAUUUAGAGGAAGUAAAAGUCGUAACAAGGUAACCGUAGGUGAACCUGCGGUUGGAUCAUUACGAAAUUCAAAACCAUCUGUGGGAGACGGUGGCGCAUUUUUUGCGCAGCCGGAUCCCCAGAUAUACACCCUUGUGAACGUUUCAUGUCUUUUGGCGGCUCCUCCGAGUGUCCGGGAUAAAAAUUUUGCAUUGUGUCUCGCAUUUUUUGUGUCUGACCAAACGGUUUUUAUUCUCGGGCCGGGCCGCCAGCAUACCACAAACUCCAAACAAUAUUCUUUUACCACUGAAACCAAAAUAAGAGAAACAAUGAGAAACAACUUUAGACAACGGAUCUCUUGGCUCUCGCAUCGAUGAAGAACGCAGC